CGUCACACAGACACAAAGAACAGUGUUGUUUUUGAUAACCCCCUACAACCCUAAACAUACACACACAUUAUUUGUAUUUUGUAUUGGUAUUUAUUAAGGAUCCCCAUUAGUUCCUGCCAAGGCAGCAGCUACUCUUCCUGGGGUUUAUUAAGGAUCCCCAUUAGUUCCUGCCAAGGCAGCAGCUACUCUUCCUGGGGUUUAUUAUGGAUCCCCAUUAGUUCCUGCCAAGGCAGCAGCUACUCUUCCUGGGGUUUAUUAAGGAGCCCCAUUAGUUCCUGCCAAGGCAGCAGCUAAUCUUCCUGGGGUUUAUUAAGGAUCCCCAUUAGUUCCUGCCAAGGCAGCAGCUACUCUUCCUGGGGUUUAUUAGGGAUCCCCAUUAGUUUCUGCCAAGGCAGCAGCUACUCUUCCUGGGGUUUAUUAAGGAGCCCCAUUAGUUCCUGCCAAGGCAGCAGCUACUCUUCCUGGGGUUUAUUAAGGAUCCCCAUUAGUUCCUGCCAAGGCAGCAGCUAAUCUUCCUGGGGUUUAUUAAGGAUCCCCAUUAGUUCCUGCCAAGGCAGCAGCUACUCUUCCUGGGGUUUAUUA
ensembl:lncRNA